rnacentral:rRNA from 1 species
CGAAAGCCUGACGGAGCAACGCCGCGUGUGGGAAGAAGGCCUUUGGGCUGUCAACCACUUUUCUCAGGGAAGAAGACCUGACGGUACCUGAGGAAUCAGCCUCGGCUAACUCCGUGCCAGCAGCCGCGGUAAUACGGAGGAGGCAAGCGUUAUUCGGAAUUAUUGGGCGUAAAGCGUCCGCAGGGGGCUCAUCAAGUCUGCUGUCAAAGGUCGGAGCUCAACUCCGACCCGGCAGUGGAAACUGGGGAGCUAGAGGGCGGCAGGGGCAGAAGGAAUUCCCGGUGUAGCGGUGAAAUGCGUAGAUAUCGGGAAGAACACCAGAGGCGAAAGCGCUCUACUGGGUCGCACCUGACCCUCAGGGACGAAAGCUAAGGUAGCG